AGACGUCUACAUUAGAUACCCGGGUAGUCCCAGCCGUAAACUAUGCGCGUUAGGUGUAUCGGUGACCACGAGUCACCGAGGUGCCGAAGGGAAACCGUGAAACGUGCCGCCUGGGAAGUACGGUCGCAAGGCUGAAACUUAAAGGAAUUGGCGGGGAGCACCACAACGGGUGGAGCCUGCGGUUUAAUUGGACUCAACGCCGGGAAGCUCACCGGAUAGGACAGCAGAAUGAUUGCCGGGCUGAAGACCCUGCAUGACUAGCUG
rnacentral:rRNA from 1 species